GUCGGAAUAUGGGCGUAAAGAGCUCGUAGGCGGUUUGUCGCGUCUGCUGUGAAAUCUGGGGGCUCAACCCCCAACCUGCAGUGGGUACGGGCAGACUAGAGUGCGGUAGGGGAGAUUGGAAUUCCUGGUGUAGCGGUGGAAUGCGCAGAUAUCAGGAGGAACACCGAUGGCGAAGGCAAAUCUCUGGGCCGUAACUGACGCUGAGGAGCGAAAGCAUGGGGAGCGAACAGGAUUAGAUACCCUGGUAGUCCAUGCCGUAAACGUUGGGAACUAGAUGUGGGGGCCAUUCCACGGUCUCCGUGUCGCAGCUAACGCAUUAAGUACCCCGCCUGGGGAGUACGGCCGCAAGGCUAAAACUCAAAGGAAUAGACGGGGGCCCGCACAAGCGGCGGAGCAUGCGGAUUAAUUCGAUGCAACGCGAAGAACCUUACCAAGGCUUGACAUAUACCGGAAACGUCCAGAGAUGGUCGCCCCGCAAGGUCGGUAUACAGGUGGUGCAUGGUUGUCGUC
rnacentral:rRNA from 1 species